GCUGAAGUUUGAGAAAGUUGGAGAAUUCUGUGUCAUUGUGGAAGUGAUGUCUUAACUAGCAAGCAUUUCUUUGGAAGGGAAAUGUUGAGAAAGAAAUCCUUGAAAUCCUUCUUAUAUGUUGGUGUUAAGGCUUCAUUUUGUCAAGUUUUCAGUUUUGACACAUCAUCAACCAUGACCUUGUGCUGCGCUCUGUGAAGAUAGAUGGCCAUUCGGUUUCAUUGGAUCCUCCGGAUAGAAAGAUAAAAUGUAUAAGAGCGACACUCUUGUAAUUUUCUUUUUCCUCCUCUAUUCUUUUCCCUCCAUGGUAAUGCAUUUCUGUCCUCAAAUGUUCAUUAAUAGUUACAAUGAG
rnacentral:misc_RNA from 1 species